UCUCGGGAAGCUGGAAAUACAGUGGGAGGGAAAAUAUAAUCUUUCUCUCAUUUCAGAUGAACUUCUGCCUUCCUUGAAAUUCCUGUGAAUUUCAAAGCCUUUGAUGGUCAUGAAACAUCAGAGGAGCCUUUAUGCUAAGCGAAACCUAUGUGAAAGAAGCUCUGCUUCUGAUCCCACCAGUACCAGCUACGCACCCCGAUCCUCCUCCUUGUGUUUGUCAUCCUCCCAGCCCAUGCAGCCAUGCUGCAUUUGUUCGGGUGGUCGUGGCUCUGCCUUAAUGUGCUGUGUAGGGCGAUACUGAAGCAAGACCCUUUGUGGGACUUGCCCACAGGACCUCUGGGCCACCCCGGCUGCUCCCCUGCAGGCCAGCCUCUCCUGUAGGGCCUUGCUUUGUGCUCUGAGAGGCCUCGCCUGCAGCAAAGCCUGCGGUGCCUUUAUCCCAGCAUCCCUGACUGGGUCCACAUCACAGCAAGGGGCUUUCCUGGGGGAGCCCUGACACCAGCAGGCACGGGUAGCAGCUCUGCAGGCAGCCACGGGUCCCUGCGAUUGCAGGCACCGAGGAGGAGGGCAGCCUGACCACCCGCACGAGCCGGGGCAGCCGCUCCUUGGGAUGGGAGCAGCCUGGGCACAGCCGGUGGGACGCGGCGGGGAGUUUCUUCUCCACAGCAGAGCCAGCAGCAGGAGGCUGUGCAGGGGGUGCCACCGAAAUCACAGGGGCUGCAGGGUUGGAAGACGGCCCCAGCAGGUCCCUCCUGAACGGGGCACUGCUCUGUGUAAGGGCAAAUACAGUGCCACUGCUUCCUGCUCCUCAUCUCCCAGCCACUUCCAGAGGCUCUGGUGGGUGUCCCACCAGGAAAUCCCUCCAGAAUUGUUGCUGGCAGGGAACAGCAUCUGAGCAAGCAAAGGGGCAGACAGAAGAACCAAGAGCAGACAUCCCAAGGCUGGUGUUUUCCACAUGGGCGAUGUGGAGAAGCAGGCCCCGGUGUGGGCACGGCCAGAGAAGAAGUCUGUGGAAGCCAACCCACACGGCGUCGGGGACCUUGCUGGGAGAGGGCAGCAAGCGCCCUGGGGAGCCGUUCUGCUGCUGCAAGGAGGCUGCAGGUUUGCCCGUCUACAUGUCCCAUGACUGUUUGGAAACAGAGGAACAGAUGGAAGCUGGGCUGAGUCCUUCCCAAAGGUUGUGCGAAGGGCAGCGACUGCAUCCGAAUGGCAGGAGUCUCCGCGCUCAAAGCAGAGAUCAUCUUCCCUGCACCACCUGGCUACUCUGCAAAUUAAUCUUUGGACGCCUGAAGAUGGGCACCCAGAAAAUGAGGGAUUCUCUUAAUGGGGGAAGACAGAAAAUGAAAUUACUGCACGGGCCUUUGGAAGACACCUGA
rnacentral:lncRNA from 1 species